rnacentral:lncRNA from 1 species
CCCCAAAAAAAAAAAAAAAAAAAAAAAAAAAAAAAAAAAAAAAAAAAAAAAAAAAAAAAAACCCAAAAAAAAAAAAAAAAAAAAAAAAAAAAAAAAAAGUACGAAAAAAAAGUACGAAAAAAAAUAUUUUAUUUAGUUUUAAAAUAGUAGUGUUUUGUGAAAAUUAUAUUAUUUUUAUGUUAAAAUAUAUUUUUUUAGAAAAGCAUUCUAAAUUUUUUAAAAUAAUUUUUUUUUAUAUUAU